GGAGAGGUCGCAUAGUGGCCUAGUGCGGCGGUUUGCUAAACCGCUAUACGGUUGAAAAGCUGUAUCCAGGGUUCGAAUCCCUGCCUCUCCGCCA
rnacentral:tRNA from 1 species